rnacentral:rRNA from 1 species
AGCCCCCUGCAAUUAAUUACAUAGGGGGUGCAGCCUGCCCAGUGGAAUUUUAUAUCUAAACGGCCGCGGUAUCUUGACCGUGCAAAGGUAGCAUAAUCACUUGUCUCUUAAAUGGGGACCUGUAUGAAUGGCUUCACAUCUUCAAACUGUCUCCCUUUUCUCCCUCAUAAACUUCUACACACGUGAAGAAGCGUGUAAAAGUAAGAAAGACGAGAAGACCCUGUCGAGCUUUAGUCAACACCGAAACAACUAAAACUCUUAGAGAAUCAUAACCAUUUCGGCAUAGACUUUGGUUGGGGCAACCGUGGAGAAAAACAAACCUCCAGACAAUUUAGACAGAAAUCUCUUCUUCUUAAAAUUUUUAAACGAACCAGUUCUUUUCUGGGAAACGGAAAAAGUUACCGCAGGGAUAACAGCGUUAUCUCCUCUAAGAGCUCAUAUUGACGAGGAGGUUUGCGACCUCGAUGUUGGAUUGGGGUAACCUAAGGGUGCAGCAGCUCUUAAUGGUUGGACUGUUCGUCCAUUAAUCCCCUACAUGAUCUGAGUUCAGACCGACGUGAGUCAGGUCAGCUUCUAUCUUCUUUUAAUUUUUCCCAGUACGAAAGGACCGGAAAAAUGUCUUCAAUAAUUUACAUCAAAAGACAAACAACAAAAACUACUUUCUAUGAAAAACAAAGCCAUAACCACCCUAACACCAAACAUCACGUCCUUAGAUUUCUCUCUUUUACACCAAACCCUUCCUCCUCACAAGGUAAACCCCUUACAAACUUUUAAAUUUUCAGACACAAAUAAGAAAC